rnacentral:rRNA from 1 species
CACGUAGGGCGCGAGCGUUGUCCGGAAUUAUUGGGCGUAAAGAGCUCGUAGGCGGCCUGUUGCGUCCGCUGUGAAAGCCCCGGGGCUUAACCCCGGGUCUGCAGUGGAUACGGGCAGGCUAGAGGUAGGUAGGGGAGAAUGGAAUUCCCGGUGUAGCGGUGAAAUGCGCAGAUAUCGGGAGGAACACCGGUGGCGAAGGCGGUUCUCUGGGCCUGUACUGACGCUGAGGAGCGAAAGCGUGGGGGAGCGAACAGG